rnacentral:lncRNA from 1 species
CUUGGAUGACCUCCACGUGUUCCUCAUCCUGGGCGUUGAACUUAUCAGUGGUGACCCACUCGUACGAUACAUACAAAGAUCCGGGUUUCAACACCCUGUAGAUCUCGGCGUAGACUUCUUCCAGGUUCGGCGCGUGACACGUCGCUUCGAUAGAGUACGCGCCGUCGAAGGUAUUAUCAUCGAAGGGCAUCUGGAGGAAGUUACCACACACGACCUCGCAGAGCGCGUCGAGUCCUGCUUUCCUGUUGUGGUCACGCGCUCUCUUCACCUGGUACUCGUUGAUCGUGAUCCCCACCACGUUGGCUCGCGAGUGGGAUGCAAUCGCGCGCAUCGGACCUCCCACGCCGCAUCCGACAUCGAGGAUCUUUUGACCCGGUUUCACUUGGAUCAGAUCUACGGCCAUCUCUUCGUGGAGGCGCGUGGCGUCACGGUGGGAUUUGCCUCGGAUGGAAGGAGAGAAGUGGAAGGACUGUCCCCAUCCCCACUCGUAGAUGUCGGUGACGAGGUUGUAGAACGUGUCCACGAAGUCCGGGACUUUCUCGGCGGUUUCGAUCUCUUUCGGACGGCGGAAGAACGACCAGUACUGUUUGUACUUGUCUUGAACUUUCUCCGCCGAGAUGGACCCGCCCGAUAGAUCCAACGCUCGUUUCCCUUUACGCUCCGCUGGUCCCAGGACGCACAGGAACCAGUAGAUUCCGCCGGCUACGAGAGCUCCAGUGAAGAAGAGUGCGACACUGUCCAUUUUUUAAAGAGAGAGAGAGAGCCGAGAGACGAGAGACGUUUUCGUUAUUGCUGGUUGACAAGUCAGAAGUGAUAAUAAAUAGAUGGCAACAUAAGUAUUUAUUUUUUGUGGAUGGACUCCCUUUAUUUCGCAUUUAAAAUUAUUAUUAAUGAGAAGAAGCCUCUGAUUUGUCCUUUGACUUGAAAAAUCUAUAGAUUCUUCUUUUUUUUGUGAACGAGUAUAUCCAAUGAAACAAAAUAUUUGAAGAAAAAAAACGCUUAGUCAAAUGAAAAUUUAUUGCAAACUCCACUACACGAAGUUUUCGUUAUUAAUCGACACAAUAAUAGUACAAAGUUCUCUCAUGUAUUUGACACAUCAACUUUUUAGAAGUUUGAAGAGGUGACAUGUCAAUAAAUAAAAAGUAUUAUGGCACCAAUAAGAAAAUUUUGUUUUUCUUAUCAUCGUAUGAUAUUUUACUUUUUUUUCUUUCUUGAUUUACCCAUGAUGAAUUAGAAAAUAAACGAGUGAGAGAGAGAAAGAGAUCAGUUCGUCGUUGAAGAACAAUGCCGAAGAUGAAGCAUCCUUUGGAAACUCCACAUCGGAGGAAGCAGUAGUGUUGGCUGCGGAUCCAGAGACCAUCACAUGUUAGACGAGUCGCCUAGACCGAUGAUUGAUCCCACCCUAUUCAGUAGCUCUAGCUCGAGCCCAUUUCUUACUUUAUCUAUCUCUUCGUUAGGUUUCAGCAACGUCUAGAACGUAAUCUUGCAGAGGCUGUGGAUGGUGUUUAUUUCAAUUUGACUGAGGAUAAAGUAUCAAGCCCAUUUAGCUAUGGUAAUCAGCUUACUUGAUCCUGAUCCGACAGAGAAUGCAGAUGCAGCUCAGCUUGAUGCUGUUAACCGGAUUAGCCUUAAAGUUAAGGCUCCAGUCACCGACACAGACUUGAACAAGAAAGUGAAAGAUAAUUUUUGCGACGUGUAUGUGAUUACAUCUAACUUUAUUUCACAAGGGAAGACACAAUGUGUAUGGUUUUUGCUGUGUAUGAGAUCUUCAAACGAUCUCUGUUUCAGAAAAUGUAGAUUACAAGGUGAUUUUGAAUUUUUGGUGAAUCGGUUAAUUAAUUCUGAAUUAAAAGAUUGGAGAGUAGAGUAUUUAUUUUGUAUUUGAAAUAUCCAGAUUUUGUUUGUGGUUAGGUGUAAGUGAUUUGACUCAGAACCUACAAAUAUAGUUGUAGAGUAUAUGGGUGGCCUCGUUGAGAAUGCAGAUUAAGCAUUGAGAAAGUGGAUGCAUCGAAGCUAUGAAUUAAGGAACAACUUUACAGCAGUUCUAAAUUAUUUCAAGUUUGUCUAUUCUAUCUAAAAUAUUUAUAUAUAUAUAUCAAGUUACAAAAAUAAAUAUUUAGAUAUUGAUUUUCUUAGAUAAAAACUUUAAUUAUUGACAUUAUAUCAGUUUACAUAUUUUUCAUAUUACAAGUUACAAUGAAAUAUGGAAGAUAUAAUGAAUGGACUCCCUUUAGCAUUUAAAAUUAUUAUUAAUGAGAAGAAGCCUGAUUUGUCCUUUGACUUGAAAAAUCUAUACUUUUUUUUGUGAACGAGUAUAUCCAAUGAAACAAAAUAAUUGAAGAAAAAAAAACGCUUAGUCAAAUGAAAAUUUAUUGCAAACUCCAAGAAGUUUUCGUUAGUAAUCUAUACUAUACUAAAAGUUGAAUAUACUAAAAGGAGAGAGCCUCCACGUCCUCAAAAAUAAUCCACCUAUCAGGAGAUUUGAAUCUGCCACAUCAUCACUUUGUUUACGCACAAAAACUAGAAAAUGACCAACUCGACUGGGCUGAAAUAAAAGGAAGUGGCCCAUUUAGAAAAAAAUCAAUGUUUCCAUUUGAUUAUUGAUCUUCGACUCUCUCCCUCGCCGUCAUCGUUCACCUUCGGAAAAAUCCAACCGUCUAUCCAACUCGCCAUUACUGUGUAAUUAUGUCGACCCAUCAUACUCAUUCAUUUCUGUUAUUUUCUUCUUUCUUCAUAAAAUUGUAAUCGUUCCACCUCCUUUUGUUACUCCUAUAUAAACAACUUCGUCUGAAUCACUCUGAUACUCUCCAGAGACGUGGUCUUUACUCUCUAGCCAUACCCGCUCUCGAGUGAUUCAUAUCCAUCAAAUCCAUCGACAAGUCAACUCUAGCUUGAAAUAGGUGACCAGGUAGAUAUUACUUAGUUUACAAGAUUGUGGUAAGGGAUAAUAAUACUCAGUCUGUGUCAAGUUCCACUGAUAUAUGUGAAAUUGAUUAUAAGCUUAGUGUGAAUAUACUGCUCGAUUCUCACACUCAUGUUCUUAGUGACUUAGUAUUCAGUAACAGGACAUUUGAGUGAGUUAGUGUAGGAGACGUUUCUGGUUGUAAUCCGUUUUCAUAUGUUUAGCUGUUGAUAAUAACUAAAGUCUUAAAUUUCUGAUGCCUUCUUUGUCUCAGUUGUGUAGAGGUUACGCAGAGAAAGUUGCUGUAUCCAUUGGACAAAUCCUUCCAAUCCCUAUAGUGGCGUUCACUGUUUCGUCAACAGUCUUCAUGAUGGACCGUCUUUACCCUGGUGAAUCCUUCGUAUUUAAAUCCUCCUGUUGAUGUAAUCAUGUAUAUAUUCGGUCAAUAUCUCAUGGUAACAUGAAAUUUUUUUCAGCUUUCUUUAAUUCAGUUUGUGGUUGCUUCGUAAAACUGACUCUUUGGCUUGACUUAUUAUCUUGAUUGAUUCUGCGGAUUUGAUGGGGGCCAGACCUAUUUUAUUAACAUCUACCAAUCUUACAUUUUGCUAGGUAGAAGAAUGUUUGUCGGGUUAAAAAAUAUACUCGAUCUUAUUUGUAAUUUUCCAGAUUAUAAUUCUUCUUAAACUAAAGCCCUACAACUGAGAUUGAGGUACGAGACACUAAAUUCAUCCUCCAACGACACAGCGAGCUUUGAAUCUAGGCUCUGCAUUUCUGAUAUUUGUUUUACUUAUGUGUUUGUGAUUUGACCGUUUUAGAUCGGAGACGAGAGAUGAAGUUUAAUGGUAUCUACGUUCAUGUAAGCACUGGUAUAGUUAACAGCUUUAGUUAGUGAGAAGUCAAAAGGUAACCAACUCAUGGUUUGUUAGUUUUGAAUAUUUUAAGCCUUUAAGGUUUGUUUUAAAAUAUUUUACCAUCAUUUCUCUGAGGAAUGUGAAGUUAUGAACAGCUGUUUCAAGAAACGUGAUGGUCCAAAGUUCAAUAUGUACAGGUAUUUGGCUGGCAUGUGACAUUCAUCACAAUGGAGCAUAACAGUGACUUUAUGAUCGCAUGGUUAAUUCAGAGCUUCUAAUUAAUUUCCUAAUCUAUGGUUAAUUUUAAUGAACUUAGAAAGUAUAAUGAAGAUAUGAGGUUCAUCCCUUGCAUAUAAGUAUUUUCUACUAUUAGUGAACUGCAAACUUACAACCUUAGAUUUGGUCAGCUAAUAAUUUCCAUCUGCUGUUAAACAGCUUGCUCAAAACAGAGUUUUGUUCGUGAUCUGUUAUGUUGACUUAGCUGUGAGAUUUUUCUGUUUGUUCUGUUAAUAUAAUGGUCUGUCGUUCAAUCACAGAUCAACAUAUGAACAAGAACAUAGGCGGAUAAAGGAUCGAAGAGGAUACUUUGAGGACGGCUACCUCAAAGGGUCCUUGCAGUCACACGUGCCAUUGAGAAUUGGGAACUGAAGAGUCGUUUCACUCUCAUUAAGCUGAAUUUUUAUAUUGGUUAAUUCCAUGUUUUUUUCUAAACACCGAGAUCUGUAUUUACGAUGCAUUGUGCAUAUUAGUUAGGAUAUCAUUAUUUUGUUAAAAUGCGUGCGAACCAAGCUUAAUGAGAAACAUCAAACAAAAAUAAUCCAAUCUUUAUAGGGUUAAUUAGGUUAAAUAACCAAAAUAAAAAUGUACUGAAAGAUAGUGCAAUCAACAAUUUUAUAAGCUAACCUUAUAUUCCAUUUUUCAAAAUUUAACUUUUAUCCUCUUACAUAAUUAAAAUUACAAUUUCAAUAUAAAAAAUAAAAAUUACGAAUGCAAAUAUUAUAUUUUAGCUUUCAGUAUUGUUUAUUUUUUACUAUAAAAUUUGUUUGUAUGAUUCUUUUGAUGUAGGUGCAUUUAAUGUAGUUGUAUCUAAUGUAGCUGUAAUAAUUAAAUGAAAAUAAUAAAAAUGGAAAUAUAUUCUUACAACAGUAUUUUUUUCUCUAGAGCUUACAAAAUAAUAUUUUAGAUAGGUUGUUACAACCAUUUUUUUUUACUUUAUCUUCAAAGACUAGAUAAAACAAGAUUGGUAAUUUUUUGUGGUUAUAAGUAAAAAUUAAAGCUAAAGUCUCUUAUUACAUCCCAACCAAUCAGCCCUAUUAUAACUUUGAAAUAAAACACAACAUGGCAAAAUUUUGGUUUUAAAUAUUUCAUGGCAUACAAAAUUAGAUACUACAAAACAAAUUUAACUAAAUUUCUAAACAUGACAAUAUACACUUUAUAUGUUACAGUCUUUAGUGAAAUAUAUUAUAUAUAUGUACAUGUAUACAUAAUAUUAUUAACUUUAUAAAAAAUAUUUACAUCAACUUUUCCGUACGAUUUUUUUCAAGAAAAAAAAUCCAUACAAUACAGAUUUUCUAAGGGAUCAUAUUUGGUCUGAGUUGAUAAUCUUUAAUAUAAAAAAGGAAAUAAAGAGUAAAACAUAAAAAUAAUAAUAAAAGUUACAAAAAAUUACAUAUAUUUAGAAACCAUAUAUUUUAUUAAAAAUAAUUUAAAUAUAUACUAUCACUAAUCAUUGAAAUAGAAUUAUUCAUCUUUUGGCAUGGACAUCCAUGCAAAUAUGCAAACCAUGAAUAACAAAAUAAAUUAAUAUAAUAAUAUCUAAAAAAAUCAUAAUGCAAAAUUUCAAAUUAUCAUUAUAUGUUUUAUUAGUUAGUGCAAAUAUUACUUAAUUUCCAAUAAUUUUAUUAAUGGAAGCCUAAACACACUUUUAAAAGAUUAUUUCCAAAUUCAAAACACCAUAAUGCUGAACAAUAUUUCAAUUAAUAAUGUUGAGAAUUUGAAAUUUUAUUAAUUUAUAGAGAUAUUAAUUUACAAAAAUUUCCUUAUUUAGAUUUCAUAUUUUAAGAUAUAAAUAUUAAGAUAAGAAAAUAUCUGAUUUUAGUGUAUAUACAUUAAUUGUUAUUUUUAAAAAAUUGAAUUUAUAUUAAUUUUAUUAUAUUAUUUGAUGUAUGUAUUGCAUAAAACUUAAAUGCGGUUUUAAAUAUAAUAAACAAACAUAUAUACAGAUAAUAAUAAAACAUGUAUAUAGAUAAAAAAACAUAUAUACUAAAUCUCAUCAAAAAUAUAUAAAACAAACAAUAUAAUAAUACGUUCUUAUUUAUAUAAAACAUGUAUACAGAUAAAUUAUUAAUUUAUAGUUUUAAGAGAAAUACCCUAUGAUAGCACUAAAAAGGUUUUUAUCACAAAUACAAACUUUAAAGAUCAAAAUGACCAAAAUAUAUCAUUAAACGGGUAAAUAAAUAUUUAUACCCCUAGGGUUAAUUAAUUCAAACCUUACGGUUUUGAGUUAAGGGGUGAGGAUUUAGGAUUGAGUUUUAAAAUUUAAAAUAAAUAUUAAAAAAAUUAAAAUAAAAAUUAAAAAAUAGUUUUAAAAAGUAUUUUUGAAUUACAAAAAGGAAAUUUGGAAAACAAAUAAAAACAAAUUCAAAAAAAAAAACUUUAUAAAAAGUUCGAAUUUUAAAACAUAUAAUCUAAAACUACAAAAAAAAAAAAAAUUUUAAAUAUAAUAGAGUAUUAGAGUCAUUUUAUCUAUUAAAUGAAAAAAUUGGUCAUUUUUCUCUUUGUGGUCUAUUUUUAUGACAAAAAUUUGAAAAUAGUCUACUUAGGAGAAUUACCCUAAUUUUAAAGGGACCAUAUAUUUGCAUAUAAUUUUCUAAAGAAAAACUAUUAUCUUAUUAUUUUAUUGAUUUGUGUUAAAGUUUAAACUGACCUAAGUUGAGAUUGGCAAAAUAUAAUAAUUUAUAGAGAUUAUUAAUUUAUAGAUGUUUUACUGUAUUUCUAAUUUUCACACACGUUAAUUUAAUUUCCAUUACUACAGAAAGCCACUGUACACAACCAAAAACAGAAACUCCCCUCUACUUUUACAUUUCUAUCGAUUCACUUCCCACUUCAUCUGCAUAAAAAAAUGAACAAUAAAUCUUAAAAUACUUAAUUUCAUAUAUUCCUUCUUAAAAUACUUAAUUUCAUAUAUUCCUUCUUAAAAUUACUUUAAAUCUAUUGCAACAACAACCAUAAACAGCCACAACUAUGGUCAUACACAAAUUUUAACUUCACACAAUAUCCGCGCGUAGCGCGGACACGGACCUAGUUUAUCUAAAAGAAACAAAAGUCAUUCCGCGUAAUUAAAGUUCAGUAAUUAUUCUCAAGAAACAAAACUCUAUUAAUCAAUCACUCAUCAGAAUUUGGAAAUUAAAUUAGCAGUAAGUUAGUAACCCAUGUUCAAAAACGCGGUCGUCUAGCCGCCUAAGCGUUAUUCAGUGGUUAACUGCGGCGAAUAUGUCUAAAUCGGUGUAGCUAAGCGUUGAUCCGUGUAAGAUCGCCUAAUUUCCGCGUUGACCGCCGAGUUUCCGCUUAGACUGCCUAAAAUUUUUUUUUCGUUCGUAUAAAGUUUAAACACGAUUGAUUAUUUUUACUCAUUAUUGACAUAUUUAUGUAAUUAUUAUUCAUUACUAAAUAAUUACAAUUAGCUUUCGAACCCAAAACAAACACAUAAUUUAGGGAUUUUUUCAUACCAAACAUACUAUAAUCUAAAUAUUCGAAGAAUCAAAAAGAGGAUGUUUAAAAUUAUAUAUAAAAAAUUAUAUAAUUAUGUCUAAGAAUAUGUGUCAUCAUGUUUAAAAUUAGCUAAUUAUAUUAUAAAUAUAUUAAAUUGUAUUUAACACUAUGCUCUGCGUAAUCUCUGAAUACUCCCCUAUUUUUUGGUAACUCGCUUGGCCCGGGGUUAUCGUCUGACUAGUGCCUAGCGUAAUUCGAAACAGGGUAGAAACAAAGUAAAACUGAUCUAAGAGCAUCUCCAACUCACCUAUAUAUUUGUCUCUAUAAUAGUAUUUAGAGAUAAAAAUCACUCUAACCCUACUUUAUUUUACCUCUAAAAUAGAGAUUACUAUUUCCACCUCUAUAUUUAGAGGAAGAAAUAGCAUUCCUCUAUAAUAGAGGCAUAUUUUUUUAUUUACAAAAUGAUCCUUUAACUUUUUACUUUAACAAUUAUAACCAAAAUAAAUAUUUUUUUAGUGAAAAUGUAUUGUUUAUAUAAAUAUAUAUUCAUACUUUUUAUUUACAUAAUAGUUUCUAUGAAAAUAUUCAGUGUAAAUAAUAUCAUAAUUUUAUGAAUAUUACACUAAACUAGACUGGUUUUUAACUUUCACAAAUAAAAUGUAUUGUUUGUAAAAUUAGAAAAAAUUAUAUAAAAAUAUUCUUUUCAGAGUAAAAAGUAGAAGAAUACAUUAAAGACAAACUCAUUCUAUUUAUUAAAGUUUUUUCUAUUUUAGAGGAAAAUAUAAGAAAAUACGUUCGAAAUGGUGUAACAUCUAUUUCUGUUGACAAUAAACGAAAAAGCAUAGAAGUGAUGUGAUGUACAUGGGAGAGAAGUACCGACCAGAGAAGGAGGAAUCACGUGGAAGCUUCUUUUUUUUUAAUGAAAAGCUAGCUUUUCGAAUUGUUUACAAAAGUCGAUUCAUUGAUCUGCUCUUAUUUCUUUUUGUUUUUGUCGUUUCUUUCUUGGCUUCUAACCAGACCACGUUACUUCAAAAGAUGCUCUUUCUCCUCUUCUCUAACCUUUAGAUCCCUCUCUCAAGUCUGUGCACUGUCUCAUUUUUGUAUCUUUCUCACUCAAAAUAAUUUUACUUUCUCUCUUUCGGUUUAAAAUGAAAGUUGGCGCUAGUGAAAUUGGUACUUUAAAACUAUUAGCAUUAUUAGUAUUCUAAUCUUUACCAAAAUGUUAAAGUUCUGAACGUGAUUACAAAAACAUUAUUAGAACCUAAAAACAUAUGUGUUAUAAGUGAACGUGAUUAAAUAUAAAUCGUACAUCACCGGCAAAUACCGUAUCAGCAGCAGUAUUGGUGAUUAAGAGGUUACGACCACUGACUCCCAUGCUCUAUAAAACUGAGCUUCAUUAGUUGUGUAUCUUGUUUUCCUCGGUAGGAACGUACACCUGCAUUAGCAAGUUCAUGAAGGACAAGAAGAUGAUGGGUCCCGACUGUCAGGUCACAAAGAUAAAGUGUUUGUCAAGUUUAUGUUAAAAACUUUUAGCAAAAAAAAAAAGAAGUUUAUGUUAAAAACUUAAAAAAUAUAAAUAACACGAAUAUAUAUACUAGUUUGGUGCAAAAUCAAAAGUUCAUAAAUAAAGUAUCUGAAUCACCCUGUUGUUUGUCCAAGUAACGCAAACAAGAUAUAUCUUUAUCAUUUUGUGUUGAGAGAACAUUUGACCCCAAAACUUUUACAGCUUAUCGGAUUUUAACUGCGUUUGCAGUAUAUGAUUCAUGACGUAAAGUUUGCAGGUUUCAAAAGCAACCUACGUAUGAACUAAGUAGACCUUCAUUGAAAUGUUAUUUAUAAAGAAUAAUUUAUCAAAGCAUAUAUAACAUAGUAAGCCUCACUUAAAUAUUUGUAUUCUACACUCCCAUUUUAGUUAUACAAUUUGUUCAUAUUUAUCUAAACAAGUUAUUCUUUCUCCUGUUCUCUACUUCUUUUUAUCUUUCUUGUAUAAUACUUCUUUAAGGCUUUUUUUACCUUGAGUUGUUAUUGGUUGUUUUUGUUUAUUUGAUGUAAUAAAUUGUUUAAAAACAACAGUGUAACCUUUCAGAAAAUGAUAAUUUUAACAUCUUACAAAAAAAAAAACAAAUAUUGAUUUAUUUAUAUGAAUAUAUAUUUUAUUUUAAAUCAUUAUAGUGGACGAAGAAAGCACCAUAAUUUGUACAACAAAUUUUCUUAGAUUCCCCUCACCAUACUCAUCAUUUUACCAUUUUAAUUACAUAAUUUUACAUGAGCUUCUUCACCAUUCCCGGUUAUUUUCUCUUUAUUUAUAACUACAAUAUAAAGUUAUAAACUAUAUAUAUUAUAAAUUAAUAAUUUAUUUACCCUUGAAGUCUAACGAUUAAAAAUAGAACAUAAUUCAAUAUAGAUAUAUGAUUCUAUUAAUAAAUUAGCAGUUACAAAUUUGAAAUUUCUAGAAAUAUCAAAAGUCGUAUGUUAGUUAAUUAUCUUCUAAAUGACUAUUUCUAAUUAUUUUUGGAUGAGAAUAUUUUGGUUGAGGUGGAUAAUCACAAAAACCUUGAAUUUAGUCAUUUUUAUAUAGUAGGAUUAAUCUGGUAUAUGUUUCGCUUCAGUCACGUGUUCGAUUUUUAAAGCAUUUGUUAAGUUCUUAAACCAAACAUACCUCCUAUGUAUUGGUUCUCUAUGUACUGAAGAAUAUAAUGAUUUUGACGUUUAAUAUAAAGCUCUUUCUGUACUGGCGUAUUUUUCUGUUAAAUGUAUAUAUAUACCCUUUAGUUGGUUGAUAGGUCAGGUUUUAACCCGAUUAUCUAACUGCAAGUGCUAAGUGAAGUACGCAAUAGUAAUACGGGCGAUGACCACACGUAGAGUAGCACACAAGUUACUAGCUAAAGCGAUAAAAUAAAUUUGUUUGUUUGAUUUUCAGUUUUUUAAUUCAAAUAAGCAAGAAUAAGCGAGAGCAAAAGACAAAUAAAACGAGUUUGUAAACAACUAGAACAAGCGUUGGGCAUUGGGAAUUCUCAGGGAUUUCUCUUCAGUAAUGAUCACACAACAAGCAGACAGAGAAACACCAUACAACAACGUCUCGAACUCAAAUCACAAUAUUAGAGUUAACCUACUUCCGUAGCGCUAACACCCUAUACUUAGAAUCCUAAAUACUAGCUUCCACUGUAUCUCAGAUUUUAAACAAGCUUUAGCUUCAGGUUUGAUCAGUUCACAAGGUGCAGUAACAUCAACUUCUGUUGGUUACAAAAACCUUGCUCAUCUACUAUAUUUCGGGAAUUCAAACAACAUUUUCAGUGCGAUUAAAUUCCUAGAAUCAGAGACUAGGUGAUCAGACAAGUCUCAGCCUUAAGAAAAUCAGUAGACAAAGAUCCAAAACAUAAAUCCCUAGUCUAACAGUUUUCUAGAUCAACACAUCGAGAAAUUCCCUAUGAGAAUCCCUUAACCCAACUAGAAGACUACUCACUCAUAUUCAAGCAAUAACAAAAUGAAGUCAUAGAAAAAAACAUCAUGAAAUUGUGUUAAAAAUGAGAAAGGGUUAAGAAGAUCUUCUCCAAAUGAGUACAAGAAUCCUCUUCCAAAAGUCUACAAAAUGAUCCAAAUGAGUUACAAAUAUCUCAAUUCUCUCUAACACUCUCUCUAGCCGUCAGGAACCAGCACAGAUCAAAAAUACAACAUAGAAUCAAGUCUUUAGGUUUUUGGGUCUUCAGAACGCAUCUUUUUCUAAAAAUGGAAAUUUUUCCCAAUGUGGCAAGGAUCGGGUGACCCACGAUAUACGGAGCGGGUGCUCCAAGUUAGGGAAAAGGUGCUCUAGGUAACAUGGAGUGGGCACUCUAUGUUCGCCAUUCCAGCAUAAUUUGAACAAUGGCUCAUUUCGCCCCAAAAUAAUCUACAAAUGCGUUCUUUUCCCACAAGCUAACCUGUAACCUGUAAAUUAUAUUGAAGAACAACAAAAGACGCCGAGAAGACCAAAAUACCUUCAAAAACCGAUCAUUAUUUGUUCCAAAAAGAGCUUUAAAGUGUUAAAAACACAAUACAUCAGUGGUUUCGUCUGUUUCAUUCUUUAUGAAUAAUUUUUGUAAGGUUUCUGAAAGUUGUCCAUAUUGUUGGUAAAUUCUAAGUGAGAGAUCUUUAAAGGCAAACUUCUUACUAAAGAGUAUAGUUUAACACUCAUCUUCCUAUGCAUGCGUUUAAUUGGGGAAAAGUUGGACUCGAAGAAGAUGUGGAAUGACCAGAACAAAAAGUUCUGAAGAGAAAUCUGAUAAGAACACAAUUUCAAUUUGUCCUUAUCAACCUCAUCGAAAAAUUCCAAGGCAUAUCAUUAUAUGUAUGAUCUACAUAUCUGAAUUACAAGUACAAACAUAAUAUCUUUAUAAUAGAACAUGCCCACUUAUUGAAGUGUAAUACAUGCUUUUGAGUUUUGAAUGGUAUAAUCUGUUUAAUUAUCUUGCUCUUUGUUAAAAAGAUACUACAAAAAAAUCAGAAUAAGAAAGAAAUCAACAAUGAGUUCAUCAUCAUGUUUGUGUAGUUAGUUAUUUGAUUCAGCGAUCCUUGUAUCUUGUCAUGAAAAGCUAACUUAAUAGACGAGGCGAAGGAGGGCAUGAAGAGUGAACAUCCUGGCAAGCGGAAGGAAAACAUUUUCCUUUAUUGCUACACUUCUUUCCGGGUAUUCGGAAGUCUUGUAAUUUAUGUUGUCGACUCCUUGUCAAAAUCAUAAAACUGAAACAGUCUAUUUGUGGUUAUGAAAUUAUGUUUUUUUUAAAUUGUACUGGUUGCAUCAGUUUUAUGGUAUAAUUUGACUCUUUAAAGAACAUACAAAUGACAAUUGACGUACAAUGAUGAAAGCUUUGAUUCAUAAGCUAGUAGUCAUCUAAAACAUUUAUAACACAUAACUAAAAAAUGGUUUCAAUUAAAAUCCAGCAAAAACAACUAAUGAUAUUUGGAGAUUGUAAUUCUUUCGUAGAAAAUUACAUAUCUGAGGAUUAUCAAAAAAAAAAAAAAUUACAUAUCUGAGAUUUAGUUAAUUACGUUGAAAAUAUAUGUUGUUAAUAAAUUUUAUAUUGUUUACACUAACCAAAAAAAAUGAGAAAAAGAAAAUGUUAAUAUCUUAUGAGACUAUACGUUCGUAUAGAAAAAUAUCUUCUUAGUUAAUUAAAAUCUUUAUAAGUGUAGUAUUAAACCUUCACUCAGAUUCUCAAUUACUAUUUCAUAAUCAUAAUUAUUUUUUGGAGCAUUUUCAUGUUUACCACUUUCUUGGUAAUAUUAUUUAUGUUUAGCAUUACUAAAAAGAUAUUUUCAAAAAUACAUUAUUCAUUAAGUGACAAAAGACUCUUAUACCUGUUAGAGCCAAUAUUGCUCAACAGUUAAAUAGGCCAACAUCGGUCUGGGCCGUGCGGUGUAGAACAAGUAGGAGGCCCGUUACGAGCUGUUCGAAGAGAGAUCGAAAGCCUGAAGAUCGCAUAACGGUUACGAGGAUCUCGGACUCAAUUCACUACAAAAGGAGAUCGACGCUUAUGAAGAACGACAUGUUGAAAAUCUUAGAGAGAGCUACACCCAUACAUCGAUCUUGUUUUCACCUAGCUUUAGAUCUUCUCUCUUAUCGAUCUCGUUUGUAACGUCGAUCUCAUUUCAUUCAUUGUAUUCACCCUUAAUCAUCAAUAAAAUCGAUCUUUGCCUAUUGGAAACUGAUUACACCGUUGUGUUCUAAAGAAAUCGUUGCCUACAUCAUUUUAUCUUCCCUAGAUUAAACUUUCGAUCACUGUCAAAUACCUAGUGUAGAUUUUACGAUCUACCAUACAUUUGUUCUCUCUAUAUAUAUGAUAAAUAAUUAUUUAAAUAAAUAAUAAUAAAAAUAUUUUUUUUAUAUUUUCGAAUUAUACAUUUUCAAAUGGGCAAUUCUCAUAAAUAGACUAUUUUCAAGUUUUGGUCACAAAAAUAGACCACAAGGAGGAAAAUAACCAAAAUAUUUCAUUUAAUAGGUAAAAGGACACUAAUACCCUAGAUAUAUAAAAAAUAAAAAAUAUAUAGUUUUAGAUUAUAUGUUUUCAAAUUCGAACUUUUUUAUAAAUUGCUUUUUUGAAUUUUUUUCGCAAUUCUUUUUAAUUUUCUUUUUGUAAUUUGAAAAUAUUUUUUGAAACUAUUUUUAAAAUUUUUAUUUUCAAAAUUUUAAUAUUUAUUUUCAAUUUUAUAAAAUUUUAAACUUCAAACCCAAAUCCCACCCCUUAACUCUAAACCCUAAGGUUUGGAUUAGUUAACCUUAGGGGUAUAAGUAUAUAUUUACCUCUUCAAUGAAAUAUUUUGGUCAUUUUGAUUAUUAGAGUCUAUAUUUGUGAUAGAAACAUUUAUAGUGCUAUCUUAGGGUAUUUCCCUUUUCAAAUUUGUAACUUUCUUAUAAAUUUUUUGUUUAAAUUCUUUUUUCCGAAAUUUGUUUUUGAAAAUCAAAAAUUAUUUUUAAAACUUUUUUUUAAAAAAAAAUUAUAUUUUUAAAGUAUUUAUUUAUAUAUUUAUUAAAAUCCAAAAUUUUACAUUCCAAAAACCAUACCCCACCGCUCAACUUUAAACUCUAAGUCUGUAUUAGUUAACUCUAGGGUUAUAAAUGUCUUUUAACCUUCAUUAAUAUGAGGGUAAAGGUGAUUAGCGUAAAUGUGAAAAGUGGUACUAUGAAUGUUGUAUUCUUGACAAUUUCCCUUAUUUUAUCUUUUAAACUCUAUUUAUUUUAAUUUGUAAAAAAAUAUUAUAAAUUAUAACUUCCAGUUACUUGAAAAUAUUAUAAAAUUUCCAAAAAAUAGAAUUAGUAAACAGAAUAUUAACAUAAAUUUUAGCCGAUUGUUGCUAAUGUGGAGUUAAAAAAAACAUAUCCACGUAAUCCCCUAUAUAUUAAAGGAAAAUCAUUUUUAAAACUUACCUUAAAAGUUUAUUGGCAAAGAAUGAUGACUUGGCUUCAUGAGAAACUUUUAUUUAGUAAAAUUCUUAAGUGUCACGUAGAGAACGUUUCUCACAAAAACUGUGAAUUUAAUGUGUUCACACUAAUAUUUCUUUAAAAGAACUCCAUACCAUAUACACUUUUCUAGACGAACACUUUUACGUGAUAAACCUUCAGUUUCAAGUUCGAUUAGUUGAUUUAUCAAUCCUGUAAAUAUAAUCAUCGCAUCAAUAAAACUUCCUUAUUCCUCUAUACGUUUCUAUUAAAAACGGUAACCCAUAUGAUAUAUCGCUGAUAUCUUGCAUAUUUGCAUUGUUUUAUCCAUUCAUCCAUGAGCAUUUUCAUCAUAUAGAUUAGGAUUUAGUCAUGUCUAGGUUGCAUUUUGCAUUCAUUGUCCUUAUUAGGUGUUGGAGUGCCACAUGGAGUUCUUGGGGAAAUUUGAAUGCAUUUGGAGCUUAAAGGACGUGAAAUAGGUGAUCAUUGGACGAGUAGAGCAUGAGAGCGAGGUUCCGCAGCGACGUCAUGAGGUCGCUCCAAAGCACCCCCCAGAGCGACUUGCCCAGAGCGACGCCCCGAGGUCGCUCGCAUCUCACACCCCUCUCAGAGCGACCUCCCAAAGCGACACCCCGAGGUCGCUCGCGUCUCUAUGGCGAGACGACACGAAGCGAAGCCUGGAGCGACCUCUCAGAGCGACCCACUGAGGUCGCUCUUGAAGGCCGGAGCGACUUGUCGGAGCGACAUGCCGAGGUCGCUCCGCGUCUAUUAUCUGCUCGAUUUCUAUUUUACUUAAAGGCCUUUUGGUCAUUUCAUUAUGCACGUUUUACAUUUCUAAAACCUAUGUUUUAAACAUCUUUUGUAGCCACCAGGGCAGAUUAUCUUUUGAUCUAUUGAGAAAUACACAAAAACUCUCUUGAGAAGUUCAUCUCUUGGAUUUUGAUUGUUAUGUUCUUGUGUUGAUUUCUUAUCUAUUUCUCUACAUGAUUAAUCUGAAAUUCAAAUGGGUUUAAGAAGAAUCAUGGAGAUUAGUGAGUAAUCACCUUUUGAAUUCAUGGGUUAGGGAGAUUAAGGGUGAUUAGGUUAGAGCUAGGAUGUUUUAGUGUAGAUCAUUCAUAUUUCCUUGCUAGUAGAGUAAUCAUAAUGCAUCUUCUGAGUUGGUCACUCAGUUGUUGAUCCUUAGGCAUUUCUCACCCGAAAGGUGUUCGAUGAAAUGCCCGAGACAACUCUCCUAGGCUUUUAGUAUACUUUGCCAAAGAUAUUUGUUGUUAAAGGUGCUAAGAUAGCUAAUAGACUUGUUAGUAAUGAUUGCUUUCAUAUUAUUCAACCAAAGACGUUUGAUGUUUGAGAUAUGUUAGCAAAUGAACAUUCAUCUAGACAUAAAGCUUGCUUAGAAUUGUGUCUAGGCUUAAGGUUGAUAGUUUGAUUGAUCAUUUGCCAUCCUUAGUUCGAUACUUGAUCACCCAAGGUCUAAUCCCUAUGCCCAUGAGUUCUCUUUUUCCUUAGUCAAGAAAGUAUCAUUCUGUUAUUGCUUUCUAGUAUUAGUAGUAGUUUAAAACUCAUCUAAAUCAUUGGUUGCACUUAGAUUAAGUGAGUACUUGCAUUCUCAGUGCUUUGAUAUCCCUCAGAACUGGUUCGACAAUGUUUUAUACUACAACAUUUGUCUUAGGAGCCUUGAAAACUCCUAACAUCAAAUUGGCGCCGUUGCCAAAUUCUGAGUAGAUUUCAACAUUGAGAUUUAGUCACUUGCUUGAGACUAAGUCAUUUUUAUUUUCUUUUGUUACUGAUUCUUCUUCACCUCCCUUUAAUCUACAGGUGUAUGCACUUGAGGAGCAGGGGUCCAUCAAACCUAGUUCCAAGAGCUGCAGAUAUCAGAGCUUUAGAGAGAGAGUGUGCUAGAAAGAGAAGAGAAGAAGAGCAACAGGCUCAAUUGCAGAGAUUGCACACUGAUAUGGGAGACAUACAUCAGCAUGAUGCAGGCAUAAAUGGCGCUAAUAACAAUGCUCCAGCUAACCAACAGCGAGCAGCUCGACCAAUUGGCACUUACGACCGUCCCAAUAUUCGUGGUCAUAGAUUGGGAAUCCGAGCAUCCGCUGUGGCAGCCAACAACUUUGAGAUCAAAUCAGGACUCCUCAACGUGAUCGAGAACACCAAGUAUCAUGGCUUGGCUCUAGAGGAUCCAUUUGAUCACUUGGACAGGUUCGACAGCUACUGUGGGUUGUCAAAAACAAAUGGUGUGUCCGAAGAUGCCUUAAAACUCAAGCUAUUCCCUUUCUCUUUGGGGGAUAAGGCACGUCAGUGGGAGAAGUCUCUACCCAGUGACUCCAUCACCACUUGGGAUGACUGCAAGAAAGCAUUCUUGGAGAAGUUCUUCUCUACUUCAAGAACUGCUAAGCUGAGAAACUAGAUUUCCAGCUUUCAACAGAAGAACUUGGAAGGCUUCAGUGAAGCCUGGGAGAGAUUCAAGGGCUACCAAGCUCAAUGCCCACACCAUGGCUUUUCUAAGGAGAGCUUGCUGAGCACAUUCUACCGUGGUGCUCUUCCUAAGUACAGAGCCAGACUGGAUACAGCUAACAAUGGGUUCUUCUUGGGGAGAACUGAGGAGGAUGCAGAAGAGCUGGUUGACAACAUGGUAAAGAGUGAUGCAGUCUACAGUGGAGACCACGACAGAGGCAGUAGAACAGAUGAUAAGCAGACGAGGAAAGAGAUCAAAGCUUUAGAAGACAAGAUCGACCUACUCAUUGCUGAAAAAGCCACCCAAGAGCAGCUGAAGUUUGUUGGUAACUCCAAGCAGGAAGAUCCACUUGCUGUCAAUGAGGUUGAGGGUUUGGAAGGUCAAGAGGAGUUGUGUUUCAUUAACAACAAUGGUAGCUGGUACAAAAAGGAGCCCAACUUUCAGUACAACAACUACCAACAGAAAUCCUAUCCAAACAACCAACAGAGUGGCUAUCAGCCAAGAAACAACCAGCAAGGCAGCUAUCAGCCUCAGCAAAACCCCUCGUUUGGUUCCUCUGCUCCUCAAGAGAGCAGCACUGAUACCUUACUGAAACAAAUCUUGGAGUCUCAGACUAGAAGUGAGAAGCAUGUUGGUUAUGAGUUGAAGAACCUUCAUUCUAAGAUAGAUGGGAGCUACAAUGAGCACAACAACAAAUUCUCACACCUUGCUUCUACAGUCAAGAAUUUAGAGAAUCAGUUUGCUUCCAUGAACACUCACCAGAAUCGCCAGCAAGGAUCUCUACCUGGAAAAUCUAACCAAAACCCCAAGGAGGCCAAAGCUAUCACCCUUAGAAGUGGUAAGCAGUUACCUCCUAGAACCCUCACCAAGGAUGCUGAGAAACUAGGUGAGGAGGUGGGCAUCAAUUUAGAUGAUGAUGUGGUAAUUGUUGAUGAGAAGAUCAAUGAUGAGAUUUUGGAGAAGAUUAUGGAAGCUAAAAGUAAAGGAAAGGUUGGAGAAGAGAAGAAAACAAUACAAGAAGGUGAAGUUGUUACUCCAGCAAGUGAAAGUUCUUUUGUUCCUCCUCCCUAUGAACCCAAGCUUCCAUUCCCAGGUAGAUUCAAGAGGCAGCUGCUAGAGAAGUACAAGGCUCUGUUUGAGAAGCAAAUGAGUGAAGCUCAGGUUGCAAUGCACAUCAUUGAUGCUUUCAUGUUGAUUCUUCAAUACAGCAAGUUCCUGAAAGAUGUUGUAGCUGCAAAGAAGAAGGAGAUGGAAGGCAUGAUGAUUCUUACCCAUGAGUGCAGUGCCAUCAUCCAGAGGCUUGAUGUUCCAGAGAAGUUAGAAGAUCCAGGAUGCUUCACACUACCUUGUGCUCUUGGACCUAUGGUAUUUGAGAAAUGUCUCUGCGAUUUGGGAGCUAGUGUCAGCUUGAUGCCUUUGUCUGUUGCAAAGAAGCUUGGAUUCACCCAGUACAAGAAGUGUAGACUCUCUCUGGUGUUAGCUGAUCGUUCAGUGAAGUACCCUGUGGGCAUCUUAGAGAACCUCCCGGUGAAGAUUGGAAGGUAUGAGAUACCUACAGAUUUUGUGGUGCUUGAGAUGGGUGAGGAGGCUCAAGACCCAUUGAUUCUAGGAAGACCAUUCUUAGCUACAGCAGGAGCUAUUGUUAAUGUGAAGGAAGGCACGAUUGAUCUCCAUUUGGGUAAAGAGAACAUCCUCCACUUUGACAUCAAGAGGAAAAUGAGGAAACCAACUGUGUUCGGGCAAGCCUUCUACAUUGAAGAGAUGGACACUCCUGCUGAUGAGCACCUUGAAGAGUUACCACCUGAGGACGACGAGGAGGGAGCAUCUCCCUCUACUCAUUCCCCAUAGAAGGUAACCCACCACACUCCCCUGUAUAUACCAUUUUAUUUUUGCAUAUUAGUCUUCUUUUCGGUAUCUCUCUUUUUACUUGACAACACAGACUGUGUAACUCAAGUUUGGGGGAGGUACCAAGUAUUUGAUCAUGUUUACUUUGAUGUUGUUUCAUUGAAUCAUGCAUUGCAUACCUAUUUGCAUAUAAAAAAAAAAAUCAAUCAUUUAGUUUGCAUCAUUUGCAUUUCUAGGAGAGUCUAGAGCAUAUAGGUUGCAUUCACUUGCAUUGGGAGCAAUGAUUUUAAAUGCCUUGUAAAGAACACUACGUUGCACCUGAGUAGCUUUUGCACCUCUCAAAAAGACUUGUAUGUUUCGAGCCUUGAAAACUCUUCCUGAAACUUGUUGAUUGCUGAAACUCAGUCUUUGAAGCCAACUACAACCUUAUUUGAACUGAACGAACUUAAUGCUUCUUGCUCAUGGUCUCUUGUGUACUGAGUCAUGGCUAUACACACUUGAGUUGUCACAUCCUUUAUGCCAAUCUAAUUUUGACAAACUCUAGUGGUAGACCACUCCCAAAACCCUUCCCUCCUUUUAAGCUUUCAUUGUUUGAUGAGUGAGGCCUUCUUCGGAAAGUCUUACAUGCGCAUAAUGUUGAGAGUAUCGGGAACGACAAUGCUUGAUCUUCAUUCUUGCUAGAUUGGGCACUCUAUUGUCUAGCUAUAGGUGGGGGGUGAGUGUUGUGAUUAUGAUUUGGGAGAAAUGAAAAAAGAAAAGAAUAGACUCUUUGUGCUUAAGUGAAUUGUUUUAUUGGGAUAAGUAGAGAAACCUCUAGCUCAAGGAGGCUAGCAAAGUUGUUAGGAGCUAAGAAAUGUUUUGAGGUUGUGAAAAAUCUCUUGUAGAUUUCAAAGAGAAAGAGCUGAUGUUUUUAGAAUCUUUUGGUGAGAGAUGUGAGUUGGGUUUGACAUUGAGAAAUGAUUGUGUAAUUGUAUGUUUGAGAAAAGGGUAGAACAAUGGAGAUUGAGCAUUGUAUGCAUGAGUUGAUCCCUUUCUUAGAUAUAUUAUGUGCAAUGUCAAGUCUACUUGUUUCGAGAGUAAACCACCUUAAAAAUCAUAUAUUUUGAACCUCUUGAAUCACUUGAAUAAAAGCCUUCCUUUACCCAACCAAAUGAUUUGGACCAACUGACCAUUUGCAAGAAUUCACCUAAUGUUUAGUGCUUAACGAAUGUGAGAGUUGGUUGAUUUGAAUAUGUGGAUGAUUGAUGAUGAGUGUAAGGGCAAAAAGAGUUGAGAUAGGCCUAGAGAAGCUAGAGUGUAAUAAAAGAGUGUGCUAAUUAUGUUUGCUAGUUGUGUUUCUUUUGGUUAUGAGCUCCCACCUUCAAACCUCUCUCCCUAUGAGUUCUAGAAAGUUCACUUGUGGACAAGUAAAAGAACAAGUUUGGGGGAGUUGAUAUCUUGCAUAUUUGCAUUGUUUUAUCCAUUCACAUGAGCAUUUUCAUCAUAUAGAUUAGGAUUUAGUCAUGUCUAGGUUGCAUUUUGCAUUCAUUGUCCUUAUUAGGUGUUGGAGUGCCACAUGGAGUUCUUGGGGACAUUUGAAUGCAUUUGGAGCUUAAAGGACGUGAAAUAGGUGAUCAUUGGACGAGCAGAGCAUGGGAGCGAGGUUCCGCAGCGACGUCAUGAGGUCGCUCCAAAGCACCCCCCAGAGCGACUUGCCCAGAGCGACGCCCCGAGGUCGCUCGCAUCUCACACCCCUCUCAGAGCGACCUCCCAAAGCGACACCCCGAGGUCGUUCGCGUCUCUAUGGCGAGACGACACGAAGCGAAGCCUGGAGCGACCUCUCAGAGCGACUUGUCGGAGCGACAUGCCGAGGUCGCUCCGCGUCUAUUAUCUGCUCGAUUUCUAUUUUACUUAAGGGCCUUUUGGUCAUUUCAUUAUGCACGUUUUACAUUUCUAAAUCCUAUCUUUUAAACAUCUUUUGUAGCCACCAGGGCAGAUUAUCUUUUGAUCUAUUGAGAAAUACACAAAAACUCUCUUGAGAAGUUCAUCUCUUGGAUUUUGAUUGUUAUGUUCUUGUGUUGAUUUCUUAUCUAUUUGUCUACAUGAUUAAUCUGAAAUCCAAAUGGGUUUAAGAGGAAUCAUGGAGAUUAGUGAGUAAUCACCUUUUGAAUUCAUGGGUUAGGGAGAUUAAGGGUGAUUAGUGUUGGGGUCAAAAACGGUUACGACGGAAUUACCACCCGAAUACAUGCCGUCUGGUCGCUACGUAGCAACCAAACCCGAGCCAGGCUCGGUCGCUACGCAGCGACCGAGCGCUCGUCCCGCUCGGUCGUUACGUAGCGACCGAGCUCGAGCCAAAAGCUCGGUCGCUACGUAGCGACCGAGCGAUCGUCCCGCUCGGUCGCUACGUAGCGACCAAGCUCAGCCAAGCUCGGUCGCUACAUAGCGACCGAGCGAUCGUCCCGCUCGGUGGCUACGUAGCGACCGAGCUCGAGCCAAGGCUCGGUCGCUACGUAGCGACCGAGCGAUUGUGCCGCUCGGUCGCUACGUAGCGACCGAGCGAUCGUCCCGCUCGGUCGCUACGUAGCGACCGAGCGAUCGUCCCGCUCGGUCGCUACGUAGCGACCGGGCUCGAGCCAAAGUUCGGUCGCUGUGUAGCGAUUGAACCUUUCCGAACAUCGACACGACACCGGUCCAUGCAUUCUCGUCAAACCUUCGAAUGCUAUCUCCCGAAGACCGUAGCAAGCUCAGUCCAUGUUUCCCGCUAUUCUAAUUCAUCGAUCAAACUUCGCGGAUUAGAAACCGCGGAAAACUCGUAGUAAACGUGUCGAGUCGGAAGACGGCCCAGAGGGACCUAAAACACGAUUCGAAGCCCAUCCUACGAUUUUCCUACCCAAAAGCCCGUAAACCACAACAUGGUUUACGCUUGGCCCACGAAGAAGGAUAAAUGUCAAGUUUCCGCGGAUAAAUACAGAAGUUUUGAAGAUAAUUAUGAAGAUCGGGAAAAAUGGAAAAUCUCCAUUUUAUGCUAUGACGGCUUAAGGGCAGAAGAGUAAAAGCGUAAACCGACCUUGGAGCUAGUAUAUAAGGAGUCCUAGGCGAGGAGCAGAGGGGAGAACUUUUUCAGAGCAAACUUAGCACUUAGAGCAAUUUAGGCAAUUUUCCGUUUUUGUUAUUUCGAGCUGCGACUCAAUUAGGUUUAGCCGUCUUAGGGUUGCUAGAACUAGGAAUCUCGCCGACAGCUCUCGAGCCCAGGCUUAUACCUUGUUGUAACGCUCAUACGCAGAUUCAGAAUAAAGAUCUACUUUGCUCUCUCUCUUUCGAUGUCUUACUUUUAUCGUUGUUAUUCUCGUGUUCUGAUUGCUUGACGUGUGGUAAUUAACAGAUAUUCGGGUCCUCUGGGAAAUUAGGGUUUUCCUAGUUUCCUUAUUUAAACGGAAAUCGACAGUGUGAAUUUCGGUUCCCACAAUUAGGUUAGAGCUAGGAUGUUUUAGUGUAGAUCAUUCAUAUUUCCUUGCUAGUAGAGUAAUCAUAAUGCAUCUUCUGAGUUGGCCACUCAGUUGUUGAUCCUUAGGCAUUUCUCACCCGAAAGGUGUUCGAUGAAAUGCCCGAGACAACUCUCCUAGGCUUUUAGUAUACUUUGCCAAAGACAUUUGUUGUUAAAGGUGCUAAGAUAGCUAAUAGACUUGUUAGUAAUGAUUGCUUUCAUAUUAUUCAACCAAAGACGUUUGAUGUUUGAGAUAUGUUAGCAAAUGAGCAUUCAUCUAGACAUAGAGCUUGCUUAGAAUUGUGUCUAGGCUUAAGGUUGAUAGUUUGAUUGAUCAUUUGCCAUCCUUAGUUCGAUACUUGAUCACCCAAGGUCUAAUCCCUAUGCCCAUGAGUUCUCUUUUCCCUUAGUCAAGAAAGUAUCAUUCUGUUAUUGCUUUCUAGUAUUAGUAGUAGUUUAAAACUCAUCUAAAUCAUUGGUUGCACUUAGAUUAAGUGAGUACUUGCAUUCUCAGUGCUUUGAUAUCCCUCAGAACUGGUUCGACAAUCUUUUAUACUACAACAUUUGUCUUAGGAGCCUUGAAAACUCUUAACAUCAAUCGCCAGUAAGACAACAGAUCCGUAGAGACGACAAAGCGAUGAAACUUUAGUAUGAUGCCAAGUGUUAAUGAAAGAACCCUUUUCUCUAUACAUGCCUUCAUGCAUUUAGCAGAGCACUCACGUUCUUGAGAACCGCCUCUCAUUGCUGAAAGCGGACGUUGAAAAUCUAUUUCUAAAUAAAUGUGUCGUACUCGGUUUUGUUACUGCUCGAUGAGGUGAUCUUUGUUUCGAGGAGAUUCAAUCACUGUAAAUCGUCUCGGCUUAGUGUAUUAAUCUUCUCGAGCAACCAAUAUAAGCAUGCGAGUGUCACCACCUUCGCCGCCAUGAGAGCUCUACAUUAGACGACCUUGAAGAUGAGAAGAAACUUCCAGGAACGAUCCACCAGCAAGUAUCACGUGCUGGUCGCAUCUGGAACAACCUUUACAAUUUAGAACGGACUCGUUUACAUGAUGCCAACAAGAUAUGAGCAGAACACUUUAAAAUUGAUCAGCCAGUUUUUCGUAGAUGAGAGACAACUUACAAAAAUGUUACGUAAAAGAUCGCAGCUCGAAACAGCUUGACCGUUUUGCAUCGUUGGUGUAGCAAAAUGUAUAUGUAUAUCAUAAUUUCACCUACAUGAUGAUCACAAUAUUGGUGGUACAUUGUUUAGUUUAUAGUGUAGGAGCUAAUCUUUUUCGAAGUUAAUGAUUUAUCACGUAAACGUUAGGUUCGACGGUCUUUGUGUACCCACUAUAUAGAAAUAGGACCUAAUAUUUUUCAAAGAUAUUGUUUUAUCACGUAAACGUGUUAUUGUUUAUGAUCAGAACUGAAUUAUUGAAUUUUAUAGGUCGUUUCAGACAUCUAAAAACAGUUGAAGGCUGUUCGGAUAUUUUGUUUAAUCUUCAGAUUUUUGAAAUCAUGCGGUUAUUGUUUUGCUUAUAAUAUGUUAUUGAUCCAUCUUUUUUUUCGAUAUUAUUUGUUACCCCUAAAUCCCUACUACAACGUGAUAGACGAAAUUUAAAAAAAUAUAUUUUCUAAAGCUUCUUCUCAAACUUGCAAACACCAUAUAUCAAAUUUUAAUAUUAGUGCAUCCAUUAUAAAAAGUUUCUUGCUUCUCUCCUGAUAACAAUCAUACCUUUAGUUCUACCUAACUAUUACUUUAAAUAUACCUUAUAUUAUACAUAACCAUAAUAUAUAAUUUCAACAUUAAUAUAGACAUCUUAUUCCGCGUAUAGCGCGAAUUACUACCUAGUAGUAACAAAAUUUGAUUUACAUUCAGUUUUCAAAAAAGAUGUUUAAAACAAAAUUAAUACAUUGAGACCAAUUGAGAGAUAAUCAAUUGCAGAAUAUUUAGCGUUUUCUUAAAAAAUUUAGUUCAACCAAUUCAAUAAUUUAAUAAACCAUUGUAACUUUUUAGAUGAACACUUGUAAUUAUUUAUUUGUAUCAUUGCAUUGUCAGAUAAAUAUUUGCAACUGUAUAAAUGUUCUAUUACUUUGAAAUGGUUAACCAUUGCUUGAUCAACCUGAUUAACGCAAACUUUAAAUUUAAUUAUUUUUAAAAAAAUGUCUAUAUAAGGGUUGUGGACAUUGAUAAAAUCUAAAGACACAAUAAAAAAGAGAGAAAUUUCUGCUGUCCAUUCUUUUUUUUUUUUUUUUUUGAAAAAUAAUUUAUGUUGUCCAUUUUCCAAAGAGAUUUUGUAAGCUCAAAUUGACAAAUGUUAAAAUAUUAUUUUAAAAAUGUGUUCAUGCGCGAUUAAUCAUUAUAUAAAUUCAUACUUUAUAACAAUUUAACUAUUCAUUAAAUUACCGUAUUUACCCUUAUGUUAGCCAAUUAUAUAAACUUUGAAUGUUAACUAAUUAUAUUAAAUUGUCUAAACAUUAUGUAUACAUUUAUUAGGAGAUAGAUAAAAAGUGGUAUGAGUCAAUAUUCAUUAUGUACUCUAUAAUACAUUAAUUUUAGCCUAAUUUCAGAGAUAUAUUCUAAAGUGAAAAUGUUCAUUUUUCUGUACCAUCAUUCUAUUAUAAAUAGGGAAGAUUACUAAAAUAACAUCAAAUUAUGUUAUUAUUACUAGAAUAACUUAUAUUUUUUUUUAAUUACUAGAAUAUUUUUUUUAUGCCAACAAUGCUCUUAUUUUCUUUGUUAACAAAAAAAAUUAGAUUAAAAAAAUUUAUCGCACGUCAUCAAAAUUUUUUUUAACGAAACAAUUAAAUAAGUCUGCUAUAAAAAAGCUGCAAUACUUGAUGGCAGUUUUAAUAAACUGUUGCAGAUUUAUUUUUUACCGAAAACUUAGUAUCGCAGACUUCAUACCAUCACAUACUUUCAGAAACAAGUCUACCGCACAUGAUGAUAGAUUUGAUUACACUCGCAGAUUUAUUUUACGUUGGCAGACAUUUAGUGGCAGAUUUUUCCUAUGACAGCAGGUUUUGUAAUAUGUCGAAAGUUUUGUAUUGGGAUGCAGAUUUAUCUCGUAGACUUUUUAUAAUUUAGCAGAUUUUUAUUUUUAUGUUAUGGCAGACUUAUACUUUCUACGUUUACAAACAACAACUUUCAGAAUAAGUAUGCUUCUAGUUACGCAUACUUACGUCAUGCAUUAUUCUAGUUACCACAUGAUUUCAAGGGGUGGCAGACUUCUUCAUCCAGAAUCGGUUAACAACUUAAUUGCAGCAGCUGAAGCGAGAAAGUUAUCAACCAUUUCAUUGUGUCAUCCAUACUAUCAUACAAACUAUCUGUACAAUGCUUACUCCGUGGCAGUAAUGCCGAGAGAUGCUGAUACAUCAGUCCAUGAUAAUGUCGCAGGAAAAAUUUGUUUGCCUCCUGAGGUUUGCAAACCACCAGGGAGACCCAAAAGUUCAAGAACGAAGUCUUGGUUUGAGAAAGGUGAAAAUAAGAAAUGACCAAGAAUGGAGCACAAAUGUUCGAUUUGUAAUCAAGUUGGUCACAAUUGCAAAACAUGUCCUAUUGGUUAGACAAUGCGUCAUUUGUUUCUGGUUAGACAGUUUGCUAUUGUUUUUUGGUUGGACAAUUUAGCUUCUGUUUUAUUGAAUUCUGGUUAGACAAUUUGUUCUCUGUUUUACUCUGUUUACAUGAAAGUCCAAUUUUUUUUCCAGAGAACCACUAAUUCGAUCUCCCAGCCUCAAAUCGAUAGAAAAUUGACAAAUUGAGACAUUGGUUUAUCACGUUAAGUGAAACAAAUUGGUUUAUCACGUUAUUUCACGAUUUUGAACUAAGAAUCAAAAAAAUCUGCAAACUUCGUAACCCUAAAAUUGAUCUGAAGAAGAUGAACUUAUUUACCAUUAUGCCAAUAAUAAUAUUUGGGUGUUUUAUCCCCCGUGAAGUGAUGGGGGAUAAAACACCCAAAUACCACCAGAAAGCGACACAACUUAUGUUUUCCCUCCAUCAAUAAUAUUAUUAUUCCGAAGCUAACUCAGAAGCGUGUUUGAUCACAAAACAGAGCAAAUCCGACCGUUGCUUCUCAACAAGAUUACUAGCUAAUAAGAGUUCAAAGAAUGAUCAACCAAUGGGUUUGAGAUCAACGUCUCCACAACCUUCCACAUCUCUAGACGAACAUAACCUCUAGAAAGAUUGAUCUCAAAACCAAACCAUGAAAAUGUUACACAUCCGAAAAAUGAAAGUACUACAUAUCCAUAACGUUCAAAACAUAAAAAUACUACAUAUCAGAAACAUAAAAUGCUACAUAUCCUAAAACAUGAAAAUACUACAGACCCAAAACCUCAUCAUAGAUCUCAGCAGCUAACUUAAUACGCAUUGCCGGAAUGCACUGAUUAGAAAGUCCUUCAAAACCACAGCCAAUCGCCUUACACUCUAUAUACUUCAGAGCGUAAACACCACAAUCACCAGGCUCUUUAUUCUGCGGAACAUUUUUAAGUCUUGAAAUUCUGAAUUACUGUGAACUCUUCCUUUCUGGAACCAUUUCUUUCAACAAUAAAGGAAUCAUCUUUGUGAAAGGACAACACUCUUCUAGAAGAUUUGUGUUGCUUGGGACAACUGUCUGUAUGCUAUCGUAAACAUGGAUUAUUUUCUUGUCAAGAUCCACUUCUAAAGCGACCCAACGGUCACCAUUUAUCAAGUGGCAAAGAAACAACUGAUCCACAUCCUUCAGCCACUUUCUGUUGUUGGAAAACUCUGUAGGGUAAUUGCCAUUGAACACCUUCUUGUAAGUAUCUGAGAACUUCCACGUUUUAGGAUCAUAUUUCUUGUAGUCUCUGACCCACAUCUUGACAAACCAAGGCUCAAGAAAAGUUAUCUUUGCUGAGUAUGGUGAAGGGUCCCUCAUAGCUCUUUUAUGAAACAUAAGCAUUGCAGAUGCCGUAUGCUGUAAAAAAAAUUGUCUGUUAGCCACCCGGAUUCAUGUUGAUACAAGAAAAAGAAAUAAACUAACAGAAUCUGAUAGCCACCCAAAACGAUCUGUUUUCCACACAUUUCUUGGCGUUAUUAGCCUCAUAUAGAAGUGAGUGUCUACAUCGUUAUCAGUAACAAAUUAUUAAGAGCAGAUAAGGUAUUUCUAAUAAUUAAACUUACUCAAGACUUAGAUAAUCCAGUAGCUUCUUAAAUUUUGUCUCAACAACUUUAGCUAAGGGAUCAUAGUAGGCUUUAGAGACAUCACCUUUUAUAAUCCUUUUGACAGUUGAGUUACCUACAUAUGGAUACACUUGGGUCUUUGUCAGCUGUGGCUUGCGUUUUUGCAAAGGUCCAUCCAAGACUGAUGCCGCCAACUGGUCUAACGUGGCACCUAGAUUACCAUAUUUUUGCUUGUCUUCCGAAUCAGACCAAGUUCCACCAGAAUCCCUAAGUUGUGGAACUUCAACCUUCUCCUUCUUUACAUUUUUCAAUUCUCUAGCUGGUUUUUUUACUUGUGUUGUUCCAACAACCUUCUCACCACCAGUGUCAAGUAGAAUCGGACACGUUAGCUUGACCUUGGAUUUUUUGGCUUUCUUUCUAACCACACAUUGUACUGCCGCAUCCAUUUGUGAUGAGACUUUGUCUUGGACCUUCCAUGACUAAUUUCAGCAUAUAAAAAAUUAAUAGAAAGUCAAAUUUCAAGAGUAAGUUAUUUUAAAAUGAAAUAGACAUACUAGUUAAAGGAAACAAAUCACUAACCGGGUCAUUGCUCUUGACUCAUCUUCAUGGUUCACAUUGUAGUGUGCAUCAUUUUUAGGGGCAUUAGCUUGCAUUUGCUCUCUAAGUUGAGCAAUCUCUUCUUGUAAAGUGGAGAUUUUCUGUGUAAAUACCAGCUCGGCUUCACCAAUCCUUGCAUUUACUUUUUCAUCUACAGAUGCAUCGACUGCAGUCAACAACUUCUCCACAAUGACUGUGUCCAUACUUCCAACCUUUGCAGUCAAUGUGUUCAUUGCUUCCAUUAGGCCAAGCUGGAAUGUAUCAUCUCGAGUUGAGUUAAGGCUGGAUCUGCAAGCAUACUACAACACAGUAAACAAACUCAGCAAUAAACGUCAAGCAUAUAUGUAUAACAAAAGGUUUAUAUACUCACAGUGGAUGUCCUCUCUUUUGGCAAUUUUUUCUUCAUACACUCUUCUUCUUCACUCACCAAUUUCUUUUUCUCUUUGUUUGGUACUGGUGCAUUACGUGAGUUCAGGUUCCAAUUUUCACUGAAUUUACCAGGCUAGAAAAUCCCACACGCACGCAAGGGUAACUGUUAAAUGCUUCUAUGUCUAGGACUCUCUUUGCUUGAUCCAACGGAAUUCUACUGCCUGGAGAGAUGCCAAGUACUCCAAUAGAAAAGACACAUAGUAAACCAAUCAUUUUCUCUUCUCAAAAGACCAAUUCCUAAUUUUAGUGAACAACAACUACAAAUCAAAAAGCAUUGGACCAUGUGCAGGAGAAACACCAAACUCUUCCCAAAAUGGCUUAUGAUCAAUCUACACCUCUUCAUUUAUGUUGAAAGGCUCGCAAUUUAAACCUGUAAUAUCACCAAACUCAUAUAGCGAAAAAUAAUUAGCUGACCUUCUAUAGCAGACCAUAUCUCAUGGAUAUUAUUAACCACCAAUUGGUUUGUAAGUAAAUGGUGAACCGCCUUGGCUGACCAGAUAUAAUUCAGCUCUUUCAGCCUCAGAAUAACUCCAACAGAUGAUGUUUUAAUGGAUUCCCACGCAUCUAAACCAACUACUUCUUCCACCAUCUGGAAAUUAGCCAAAUGACAGUUAUGAUUCAUGCUUCCACUUUGCAAUGGACAUUUUCCCUUUUCAUAAAGUCUUGCUGGAUAUGUUUUUCCACUUUUUGAUCUAGUCAUCCAUCUGAAAAAUUGUUAAAUGUAGUAAGUAUUACAAAAUUUAAUUUUUCCAAAAACAUACAAAUGACCAAGACUGAAGAACACAAACGACCAGACCCAGACGAUACCCAAACUGAUAUCAAGAAAUGUACAAACGAAAAACACUUCUAUCUACUCUGUAUUAGAAGAAAAUCGAAUUCAUUUGAUACUGAAUACUAAAAAAAUCGUUUGACAGAGACUAACCUUUGGUGGCAAAAUAGGUGAAUUAAACUGAUUGAUGUAGAGAGGAGCUUGUAAGAGUGUCGAAUCAACGAGAAUAUGAUGAAAACCUUGAGAUUCGACGCAGCUGAAAAUUUCAGAAAGGGAGUUCAGGGUUCGUUGCUUGGGUUUUGGAUUCACUUUUCCUAUGUGAAUAGAAGGUUUUAGUGGUUGAUUAGGGUGUGGAGAUGAAGAAAUCGAUGAGAAAUCAUGUUGGAAACUAAAGAGAGGAGUUUGAGGAUUUCACAAUUUGGAGAUUUAGGAUUCUUGGGGUCACUGAAGAGAAAAAUAUCGUGGGAGUAGUUUUUUUUUUCUAAGAGGUUUCACCUUUUUUGGUCAAGUAAGAGUAAUUUUGUCUUAAUUUAUUUUUAGUGGGAACUAAUUUUUUUUUUAACCGAUGGGGCAUUUCAGUCUUAAUAAUACAUUUUCUAUCUUUUUUUUAUGUGUUAUUCUAGUCAUUAGUCAAAAAAUGUGAGUUAUUAUAAGUAAUUUUCCUAAAUACUUUUGUAUAUAAUUCUUAUUUUAAACUAUAUUUAAAUUUUAAUAUUUUUUUCUCUCAAAAACUGCGUGGGUCUGAAUCCUAGUGUUUAUAACAUGAAACAUGUAAUAAGAGUUUCUACUGAGUGUCGUGAAAUAUAUCAAAUGAAUAAUCCUUAUCAACGACAUCUAGUUCACUAGAUUAGUCCUAUUAUGUUCUAUAAGCUUUUUUAACUUUUAAUUAUUAAGAAAUUUAGUUUUGAAACAUAACAAGAGAGAGAGAGAGAGAGAGAGAGAGAGAGAGAGAGAGAGAGAGAGAGAGAGAGAGAGAGAGAGAGAGAGAGAGAGAGAGAGAGAGAGAGAGAGAGAGAGAGAGAGAAAGUUAGGUUUUCUCUCUAGAGUUUCUCCCUCCAAAUCUCUUGAAACCCUAGCGCCGUCAACAUCUGGGUUCUAAUCCGGUGGAGGAGAUCGACAGCAAGCUUGCUGUACUGGUCUUCUUCGCCACCCCAGCUUCUUCUUCUUCCUCUCUUUUGCCUCUCUCUCCAAUCCUUCUCCUCUCCAUCUACUCCGAUAUGCUUUUCUCCUCUGGACUUCUUCGGCUCGCCGGAGACUUAACAACGGCAAGGCGGGCGUCUGUCAAUCCGCUGGAGGAGAAGCGAGGUUUAGCAAGCUGAAGCGAUUAGUGGAGCCAGUAGGAGAUCUCUCGCGACAUAGGGUCUUUUCUUAGAUCUGGGUCAGAUCUAGGGGUUCACGGUUUGUCGAAAACGGAGAGCGUCGCUGCCUCGCCUGGAGCCUUCCUUACCGUCCUCCAGACCCUCUGUCGUCGUUUUGCUAUCCUCUGGUCUGUGUGAGUUCCUCUUCUCUGUUUCUCGCAGGUACACGGUGUAGAGGCCAUCGUGGAGGUUUACUCUGUUACUAAAUCUGUCUAUUUGCACAGCAGUGUGUAUGGUGCUUUUGGUUCCGGUGAGCUCCUCCUCUUCGCAGAUCGGCAAGGGAUCUUGGGCUGUCCCGUAGUUAAGCCGCCGUGGCGUCUGGAGUCUCUCACCUUCGCCGUAGCUCUCGCGUGAUUUGAGAGCUCUGCCUCUCACUGCCCUAAAUUCUUUUGAUUGUUUUAUGGCUGCCCAAAGAUGUUAGCUGCCUUUCUUUGAGUCUCGUCGAGUCUUCCGACUUGGUCUGUGGCCGGUUUAUGCCGUUUCCCUACCGCCUGCUUCCACACCGUGAAACUCAAGAGUCUCUCAAGGCUUGUUGUUGUUGGUAUUCCCGGAGUUGGUAGCGUUGUAUGGGCUGAUGCAGAGCUUGGUCACCUCUUCCGGCUAAUGCGAUUGCAGCCUUCCGCCCAAGGGGCCCUCUGGUUAUCAGUCUUCUUUGAGACCUAAUGUUUCCUUUUGCAUGGUUCCAGCUUAAGGUGGUUCAGCCAUUACAACUCUUCAAAUGUAUAGUGCAAAGCAACACAUCUUUAGUCUUAGCAUUAAUCUAGUUCACUAGAUUAGUCCUAUUAUGUUCUACAAGCUUUUUUAACUUUUUUUGCGGCUUGUACAACUAAACUAGCUUCUCGAAGCUCUUUGGUUCUGGUUUCACAACUUGUAAUCUCUUUUAUUACUAGUUAAUGAUAUUAAUAUUCUUAGAAAGAAAAAAAUCCUUAUCAACGACUUUCUUAUUUUUGCCAUUUUUUUUUUUUAUACUGGGAUACUCAUGAGCAUCUUGCAAUAUGGACAUACUCUUAAGCUUUAAUAAAUUACAAAGCAAACUACAAAUAUUACAACUGGCCCAUUAGCCCAAGACACCAAUGUUUGUCCUCAAUAACAUCAAUAUUAUUAAAAGGGAAAAAGUUUUAUUAAAUCUACUUAAAAAAUUGUUUGAACCCUUUCAUUAACUAAGAAUAUUCUGAUCUUACAUUAUUUGGACAAACAAUAUGUUGCCUUAAAUUUCUCUAACAAUCAUUUAGUCAAAGCUUUAUUUAUUGGACUCAUAUCUUUUUGUAAACAAAAAGAUUAUACCAUAUAUAUACGAUCACAUAAAUUUAGUUCACGAAAAUAUUAUCACAUACACUUUAUUAUACUCUUCUCUAAAUAUGUCUCAUUAACUUCAUAAUUAAAAUAAGUUUAAAAAUGAUAUAUUAUGUUAAUUUUAUUUUAUUUAUAAAUAACAAAUUAAUAUUUAAGAUAAGUUUAAAAUUAUCAAAAACCCAACAAAUCUUUUUUUACUGGUCAACAAAAAACCUACAAAUCUAUACUGUUAAAUUAGCCAAAAACCUUUCAAAUAAAUUUUAAGUUUCACCAACUAAUCAAAAGUAAAUUUUAUAAAAUGCACAAAGAUAUAAUGAAAUGUGAGAUUUGGGCAUUCGGGUCUUCGGGUCAAAUAUAAAUCGGUUUUUUUCAGGUCCAAGUUCUUUGGGUCUUGGCAUUUAUAUCCAACUAGGUAUUUGAAUAUAUUUUUUUGUUCAGAUUUGUUCCUUUUAGUUCCAGGUAAGUUUGAGUCAAUACUCAAGUAUUUGUAAAAUUUACUAUGUAAUUUGGCUACGUAAUGAGUCUAGCUCGGUUCGAGUAUUUAGGACAAAAAAAUCUAAAGAAUCCUAAAUGCCAAAAAAAUCAAAACACGAAAAUAUUCAAAAUCAAACAUAUACCAAAAUAACUAAAUAUCUAUAAGACCAAAAUCUUACACGAGAACCAAAAAUAUCCAAUAUUUUAAAUAUAUUUUUACAAUUUGAAAUUUUACCCAAAACCUGAAACUAUAACAGAAAACGCGAAUCCAAAAUUUACAAUAAUAUUUUUAUACUGAGAACAUAUAUGAAUUACUCAAAUAUACAUAAUAUGAACAAAACAUUCUAGGUACUUUGGAUACUCGGAGUCCAACAGAGACCCACAGGUCCAAAAAAAUUUAAUAGGUACUUUUUUCAAUCUUGAACCUGAGCCUGUAUUUCGUAUUGGUUUGGUUCGUUUAUCAAAUUUAGGUAAAAUUUUUAUACUUAAGAAAGCGUUACAUAAGAGUGUAUAUAAAAAAUCUCGAAUAAACUUAUUCAUAAGUUAUAUAAUUUUAAACAAAUUUAUGUAUUCGAUAUAAUACGACUUUAUAACAUAAUAAUACACAAUAUACUCAAAAUACUAUCUCAUUUCCAACUUCGUAUAUAACCCUUAAAAUCCGCGUUUUCGAAGCGCGGAUCAAAAUCUAGUUUAAACUUAAAACAAUUGAGAGUUAGAGACCAAACAAUUUAACUGGAGGAAAAGGUGGGCCUGGCUUCUCCUCAAGUUGGAAAAUCGAGAUCUUGCCACAAGGACCCGAUAGAUACUUAGAUAAGAAGAUAGUGACACGACGAUCUAUAUCUACAUUACAUAUCCCUCAUGUCCUUUUCGACGUGAAUCAUCACGAUCUGGAACUGGAAUAUGUUUUUGUAUAUAAAAAUAUAUAUUUCAGAGACACGAUAUCACUUGGCCAUAAUCGAGCAAAAACAAAAGGGAAAUGUCUUUUGUUAGAUAUAUUUUCCUGGAUCUAAGCACAACUCAGAAAGAAUCACGUGAAUUAUAUUAUUUUAUUAAGGAAAAAUAAACCGUAUCGACAAUUGAAAUUAUAAUGUUCAUAGCAGCCGACCACGCGCGUCUCCACUCUUCCCAGUUACUUCCCAACAACACUAAUGCCUUUGCGACAAACUGAAAACCAAUAUACCUAAGAGCAUCAGCAUCAACGUCCUUAUUGGACGUCCUUAGUGUUUUUGGGUUUAAAAAUAAAUCAAAAAGCCCAAAAUCAAAACAAACGGAUGUUAACUUAGAUCUAUUCGAUGGGCGUCCUUAGUGGCACGUGUCGCGGUGAGAAGGGUCCGAGACGGUUAGGGCAAAACACGACAUUCUUCAACACACAUGAAUUCUUCCUCUCCCGAUCCUCUCUCGACGACGAUUCAUUUGGCGAUAGGGUUCGUCGCACAUCUCUCUCCAAUCACGGCGACUUCUCUCGAAAUCUCUCCAUAUAUCUCCCUAAUCUCUCCCCAAUCUCUGUUCAGCUUCGAUAUCAUCGGAUUUUCCGUAGAUUCAUUUGAAGAAGGUAUGUAUCUUCUUCGUUAGGAUCCCGAUUUCGAAUCUGUGUUGUGUGUAAUCCUUAAAUCGAAUCUGUUUAUAGUUUAUAUCUGAAUCGAAACAUGGGUUUAGUUUAGACCAACAAUCGAAUCUGCAUGUUAGAUUAAAUCAGUCCUGAAUUCGUUUAGUACCUCCUCUGAACCUAACCGUCUGAAUCGAAAUCUGGGUUUAGUUUAGACCAACAAUCUGGGUUUAGUUUAGACCAACAAUCGAUUUUGUUUGGAUGAUUGGGUUUUGUUUUCGUGUUGUAUCUCCUCUGAAUCUGUGUUGUGAACAAAGAAUCGUCAAUAUAGUAUCGAAUGUGUGUUUAGUUGCUAUAGUUUCUUGAGAAACAAAGAAUCGUCAAUAUGAAGUAUCGAAUGUGGGUUAAGUUGAAUGUUUCUUUGCAUUGUUUUACUUGCUAUAGUUUCGUUGAUAGAUUGUGAUGCUAUGGUUUCUUGUGUGCCAUUAGAGAACGAUGCUAUCAUUUAUUGCUUCUCAUCAAACUUGAUAGGUUGUACUUGUCUCAAAACAAUAUUCUAGGUCAGUUAGGAAGUAAGUAUUAUAUUUCUGAUAAAAACAUUAACGAAACUUGAUAGUUUUGUAGUUCUGUUAGGAAGUAACUUUUAAAAUAUCGUGGUCUGCUACUAGUGUAGUUAACGAAACUUGAUUUCGACAUUGUCAACUAGAGUUAAUAGCUAUGUACUUGUAGUUUAGUAAUAAGUGUUGAUUAGACUUAGGUAGAUAAUGGUUAGGUGUUAUGGAGUUAUUACCUGGUUAUGUUUGUCCUAUUUAAUCAGAUAGAAUAUGGUUGAGCUUUAGUAUCUCCAAAUCUUCUUUCUUUUUCUGUGGGAGUAUCAGUCUCUUCUCUGUCCUUGUUGCCAUGAAGCCAGGUAGCCAGUACCCUGGUUAUGUAGAUUUCCUUCAUAGCGUUUCAGGAAAUAAUGCUCAGGGAAACUUUCCUUAUGAAAGUUUUCCUUAUAGUCUCAACAUUGGAGCCUCUCAAAUUCCCCCUUUCAGUUCACAACAGACUGAAGCUCCAUCCCAGCCUGAUGACCCACCAGUGGAGAUACCAGUGGAGCGGUUGGUGAGAAAGAAAUGGAAUCCUGUUGAUGACGAGGUCCUGAUCAGUGCCUGGCUAAACACAUCAAAAGAUGCUGUUGUCGGCACUGAACAGAAGUGCCGGAAUUUCUGGAAGCGCGUAGGACAUUACUUUUCAGCAGCUCAUCAUGAGAAGAGAGAUGGCGAGCAUUGUAAGCAGAGAUGGCAUAAAAUAAAUGGGGAUACAAACAAGUAUUGUGCAGCAUACGCAGCUGCGGAGAGGCUUCAAAGUAGCGGUCAGAAUGACAACGACUUAGUGAAGAAAGCUCAUGAGAUAUACUUUGCGGAUCACGGCUCUAAGUUCACCUUGGACCAUGCAUGGUGUCUUCUGAGGUACGAACAGAAGUGGCUGAGCCUGAACACUCCAAAGUCUGGCGGUGAGAAGAGAAAAACUGGUGAGGAUGGUUCCCAACCAUCAAGCAGUAACGUUGGUGAGGAAGAGCCCCGUCCUGAAGGUAUCAAAGCUGCGAAAGCAAGAAGGAAUUCUAGGAAGGGGAUGGCUGUCGAGGACUUUAAGAGCGUCCAUGAGCUCAAGAUGGAGGAUUUGGCUAAGAAGGAGAGGCUCUCGAAGCUGGCCAUUUUAGACACUCUACUUGCUAAGAAGGAGCCAACGGAGAGGGAAGAAAAUGUGAAGAACCAGCUGCUGGCCGAAUUUUUCUAGUUUUCAAACCCUUAGAGUCUAUGUUGUGUAAUAUCUAUUAUGUUUGUGUCAUGCGUCUAGUGUCGGAGGAGAAGCUGUGUUCAUGUGAUUUGAAAUCCUAAGAGUCUAUGUUCUGUUUUAAAAUUAUGAUUGUUGGUCUUUCAAUGUGUGAUUUGUGUUUAAUUAUAAGAAUUAUUUUCAUGAGAGAAUGUCUGUUGUGACCUGUGUUCUAUGUUCUGUUUACAAAUUAUAUUCUCUGUCUAAUGUGUUCUGUUUUGAUUAUUCUCAGGCAAUGGGAUUGGAUUAUUCGUACACGCAGCCGUCUGAGUCGGAGGAUUACGGUUUAGGAGGUUCAGCAGACAGUGGAAACAGCUCUACAGAGAUGUAUAUCCAGCUGGACCAAGCUCAGAUCGAAGCCGCGCGCCAUCAGUACCCUCCCCAGCCUGAAGUGGAGUUUGGCUUCCCCAAGGAGUGCUACUGUGGUGGAGAGCCACUUGUAGCCACUUCUUACACAAGAACUGACCCGGGGAGAAGGUUCUACACCUGCAAGAACAAACAGGACGGAGACUGCCAUGUCUACAAGUGGUGGGACGUCGCGGCUACAGAGGAGAUCAAAGCACUUGGUGCACAAGUGACCCUCCUCACUGAUAAGGUAGAUUCGCUUUCAUUCGUCGGUUACGAGGAGACCGAGGUGCGGGAGUUAAAGGAAGUUCAAUUUGAUAUGGAGCAGAAAUUGGUUAGGUUGGAGAGCAUUGUAUGUGACUUAGGUAGAAAGAAAUCUAGAUUUGGUUAUGGGUUUGAACUAGUUGUAGGUGUUCUGGUUGUUGUGUUAGUGAUAAUAGCCAUCGGAGUAGCUGCUCGUAUGUAGGUUUAUAUGUCUUAUGUUUAUCGAAAAUGUAUGAUUAUCCUUGUGUUUUGUUAAACCUUGUUCAACUCGGAUUAUGUAACCCUAUCUAACUCGGACUAAAUCUUGUUUCAAAGUCUUGAUUGAGUUUUUUAUCAAAACUCUUACUAAAAUUAGUUUUUGUUUUUGCAUAUACCAACUAAAAGAAAAACGUGUUUGAUCAUGUACCUACUCUCCCAACUACAAAGUAGUUGUAAUAUUGAGAAAACGUGUUUUUACAUAUAGCUAUUCAAAUAACUAAAAUUAGUUGUAACUUUAUAGCUAUAAAUAUAACAUGUCUUUCAAUUACAGAGUCACAACUUUUCUUUAUCGAUUCACUUCUAAAACAAUCACAACCACUUCUCAAUAAUUUUUAAUGGCUUCUUCAUCCCAUUAUCAUUAUCAUAAAGAUGAUGAUGAUGAGAUCGAUCUUGAUACUCCUUAUGAAGAAUUUUAUAACAAUUGUGCUCUCGUACAAGAACCAGAAGAUAGACAACGCCGUAAUGUUCAUGAAAGACACCGGGAAGAAGGCCACACCUUACUUUGGAAUGAUUAUUUUGCCGACAAUCCAACUUACUCUCCCGCUCUUUUCCGCCGACGGUUUCGAAUGAACAAAAGUUUGUUCCUGCGUAUUGUGAAUCGUUUCUCAACAGAGAUUCCGUAUUUUCGACUAUCAGAAGAUUGUACCGGACGGACAAGUCUCACACCUCUACAAAAAUGUACUGCAGCAAUUCGACAAUUGGCAUACGGUGCUGCGGCGGACUCGGUGGACGAAUAUAUCCGUCUAGGCGAAUCAACAGCUCGAAAAUGUUUGCACAAAUUUACCGCCGGAAUAAUAACCUUGUUUGGCGAAGAAUAUCUACGACGUCCAUCACAGGAGGAUCUGCAAAGACUACUACAUAUCGGAGAACAACGUGGAUUUCCGGGGAUGCUUGGAAGCAUCGACUGUAUGCAUUGGGAGUGGAAGAAUUGCCCCACGGCUUGGAAAGGAAUGUACUCACGAGGAACCGGAAAACCGACAAUUGUGUUGGAGGCGGUAGCUUCGUAUGACCUAUGGAUAUGGCACGCGUUUUUUGGAGCACCAGGUACUAUGAACGAUCUAAAUAUUCUUGAUCGAUCACCUGUUUUUGACGAUAUUAUUAAUGGCAUCGCGCCAGAAGUGAACUUCUAUGUUAAUGAUAAUCAGUACCAUUUCGGAUAUUAUCUCACUGAUGGUAUUUAUCCGAAAUGGGCGGCUUUUAUUCAAUCUAUUCGACUACCACAAAAUCAGAAGCAUUCAUUAUUUGCUCAAACCCAAGAAUCAGUUCGAAAAGAUGUCGAGCGUGCCUUCGGAGUCCUUCAGGCUAGAUUUGCCGUUGUCAAAAAUCCGUCAAAGUUAUGGGAUAAAGAGAAAAUAGGAAAUGUUAUGAGAGCAUGUAUCAUACUCCAUAAUAUGAUUGUCGAAGAUGAACGGUCAUCAUUCACUCAGUAUAACAAAUUUGAGUUUCAACCAAGAGAAGUUCCGGAUACAUUUACCGUCAACAUGCCUUCGAAUAUCAGUGAAAAUGUCGGCACUACAAUGGAUCGUCGAACAAGGCUUCGGAAUAGACAAAUCCAUGAAAACUUAAAACACGAUUUGAUUGAAAAUAUAUGGGCUAAAUUUGGACAUCUUCCGAAUAAUAUGUAAUUUUAAGUUUUUAUGAAUAAAUUGUCAGUGUUUUAAUUUCUGAACUUUGUAUUUUUUUUCCACUAAUAAAAUGUUUGUAAUUUUAAAACCAAGUUUAAAAAAAAAUUUAUAAACCUAAGGACCUAUCAAAAGUCCCACCCAUAAUCAACAUUUUAACAAAAGUCCUUAACCAAAGUCCUAAACUACAUAAACUAAUUAAAUACUCUAAGGACCAUUCUAAAAGUCCUAUUGAUGCACUUGCUCUAAUGAAGCUAAUUUUGAUUUCUUGUCGCGCCACGCACAAUUCUCUUUUAUUUUUAACUUAAAAUAAAUAAAAAAUCAGACACUGACUCGCACUAAUCAACUGCUAUCACACGCUGUCCACACCUAACUACAAAGUACAUUAGUUUACAAAAGUACCCUUCUAACAGUUAUGAGUUCUACUUAAAAGUGCUAUAAAUCCACUGUGUCUCGUCGGCGCUAAGCUUCCGGCGGAUUAUAAGAUACCCAGAUUCACUUAUUUAGGCACCAAAAAAAAAACAGUAAUACCAAAUUAAAAUUAAAAUCUAAAGGAGUAGUACAUUGACUGACUGACUGACCAAGCAAAAUUAAAAAUCCAUGAUAAAAUAAAAAUAAAAACAAACUGAGAUCGGGCAAAUGAUAAUCGUUUAAGACAUAGGUUUCCGGCAGAGAAUCAUAUGCAUGGGAGAGAAAAUUUCAGUUUCGCCUCCUCUGGACAAGAAAUCAGCAGUCUUAAACAACAUCUCAUGAACAUCGACGGUUCCCUUAGGCGCAACUCCAACGGCAGACAAGAUCUGAACGACAACGUGGUUCCUCCAAUAAGCGAGGCGACCCAUCUUAAGCCUAGUCCACCACGGCUGAGCCGGUGGAGCGGCAAGAUCCUUCUCCUUGACAACUUGGAACCCAACUUUCUUGGCGGCCUGGGCUAUAUCGGAGUAAGCCCUAAGGCCAGGAAGCGCGUCACCCCUCUCGAUCCCUUGGAUGACCUCCACGUGUUCCUCAUCCUGGGCGUUGAACUUAUCAGUGGUGACCCACUCGUACGAUACAUACAAAGAUCCGGGUUUCAACACC